AACAGGCCCAAUCUGAAACACAACUUGUUCUGCAAACGUAUUCAACGAACUUCCUUUAGUUAAGGCGGUCAAAACCUCACCAGCACGUUUAUUCAAAUGAAAAUCGUAUGACAGGUUUAGAACAUGUCUCAAAGCCUUAGUUGAUAUCGCUCUAUAAGCAUAUUGAGAGACAGGAACCCAUAAGAAAGAUCGAAGAGAACCAAUUACUCCCAUAUUUCCUUGCAAAAAACGAUAGAUAACGAAUAGAAUAACAUCAGACCAAGGAAUUUUCUCACUAUGUUUUGUGAGCUUUUCAGUUAACACACCCAGUUGUCGGGGAGCAAGUAUGUUAACAGCUCGCCCCAAAAAGAGUAAAACUAUGCAAAUGAAAAUCUGAAACUGAAGUCGGUAAUCUUUUGUCGGCCAGAGAUAGGGAAGUAAAGUAGAGAAAGAACGGAAAUAUUCUGCCCAAGAUUUAUCACUAGGUUUUUUCGAUGUUGAUUUGAGUGUACCAAAAUUCGAGGUUGAUGCCGAUACACCGAGCUGAACGGUCGAGGGAUUUUGAGAGAUAGCAUUCUCAUUAACGUUUGACUCUUCUGUUAAUUGACGCUCCUCAAAAUCCAGGGGAUCGUGCGUAUGUCUCUUUCGUCUAUAAGUUAGAUAUAUAGCUGUAGCGAAAACACAUAAGACCAAUCGGGCUACAUGGUCCGCCAAUACAAUUCCUUGAAAUGUUUCAUUUGGAUGAGGACUGUAGACAAUGAAAAUUGUUUCAAAUACAAUGUCUAUAGCCCAAACGUACAAGACGCUAAGGCGGUAGGCCUUUAGUAUGGAAUCCGCAUUUUUUGGAAGAGCUUUAGAAUCUGCGCAUGAGAUAAGUACAAUUAUCCAAAAUAAAAGGAAGAGAAUUAAACAGACAACAGUGGUUUUACAGGGCCACCAAUUUGGAACUCGCAA